CCAGAGUUCCCUUCUUUGCUGCUUCCUGCCCUUGUGCCACCCUCAUAUCCCUGUUGGUUACAGAACAGGGAGGGAGACAGCUGGGUGGUCUGACUGAGACUUCAGUAUUUCAGAGGGGGCUCAAGAGAAGAGAGGAAACUGACACCGCUUUGUUGAUAAUUAAGCCAGAUUUUUGUUGUUUUGUGGAAGUUGACAAGUUGCUAAAAAAGAAUUCAAAGUAAGUAAAGAGGUCAUGAGAAAGUCACAGUGGAAACCAGUUCCAGGCAAGAAACAAUCCUAUAAAUUUUGCUAUUUCAUUGAAGAUCCUCAGGAACAAAAGGAACAACAUCAGACAUCAGAUGGUAAAUUUUCUGAAAUCCUGUAAACCUCCUCCCAACCUGAGUAGAAUGACUACUCUCCUGUUGUCUUAAUAUUCUCUGCUUUUUAAUCUGAUGUCAGUCACAUGUUCAUGCUUCUCCUGGGGGGUCUACCUUUACUUUCUCAAUUAACAUCUUACAGACUUUUCCCAGAUUAAGUUUCUCUUCUUACAACUUCCCUCUUUCUGCAUUUUCCAUAUUCCUUUCUUUUCAUUCCAAAGUGCUCCUUCCCUAU
rnacentral:lncRNA from 1 species